ACUGGUGGGAGGGAGAGGAAAUGGAAUUCCCCUGACUGGUAAGAACGCGAGCCGGCACAUCCCUCUCUUACGCGCCCAAUCAGGAAUGUGCGGUGGGAGGUACUAUGGGUUAAUUACUGGAUACCCUUAGUCUAGGUUGACUCGGGCUUUUGAGGUUUCCGGUGGAGCAGGUGAGCAAUAUUGACUCGCCUGCCGGCCUGGGCGGGUUGACCUGUGGGAGGAGUCGCCCCUCAAAAUGGGAACAGUUAUUUCAAAUAGAACCCGACAGGCCGCUGACCAGCGCUCACACGUGCGGAAGCCUAGUGCUAUUCUGACUCUAAGGCCUAGAGGGCCAACCCUGAGAAGAGAGUGCCCAUUGACCAGUCCCCAGAAUUAGAGCAGCCUAGAAAUCAAGCUCAACUGUGAACUGAUGAGGAUGGAGGAUAGGGAGAUUGGGGAGGGCUGUUUACUUGCCUCUGUAAUUAGCGAUCACCAUCGCUAGGGUUUGGUAUGGCAGAAGGCUUAAUACCUUUUUCCUCUGUUGCUGUGUUUCAGUGCCUAAAGGCAAAAAGUUGCAAAACUCAUUCAAGAAAUAAGAGUUUGGGGUCCGAAAAACUCAAUACUUAUUGAAAUAUCCAGGGGGAGAAAUAUAAGAUUUUUUCUGCCGGUGAAGAGAAUGGAGAGUCUAAUAUAGUAGAAACACAGGAUUAAGGAAUUGGAGUGAAAGAAGAAAUCCAGAAGCCAAGGUACAAGAACAGUAGGAAACAUUGCUACCUACUCAAAGGGAACUCACAAUUUCCAGGAGGUCCAUGAAGAAAAGUCCCAGAGAAGCUAAUUUGUACUACCCUAGUCUAAACAAGCUUUGGUAUGAAAGUAUAAUGGACCAUGUUAAUUCUCUGAAUUAACAGAGCACAGCAGACAGACAAAUUUGAGGUCAGAGUUCUUAAUUGUUUUUGAGUCACAAACCAUGGACUCUUUUCAGAAUUCUGCUUUUAAACGUAUAAAGUAAAAUUCAUAGCAUUACAAAAGAAAAAAAUUUUGAAAUAGAAUCUCAAAAUAUUCAAGAAAAACAAACUUUUGAUAUAGGAAUAUACUGGGUUUAUUAACACAGUAAGAUCUAGUGGUAGAUCUAAUAAAGACCAAAUUUUUGAAAUAAUAACAUAAACUUUCCAGAGUUUGCAACAGUUGUAAUGUGAUAUAAAGGAUCUGUGAUUCCUGUUGGAGAUACAGACAUAGGUGCAGCUGUUUGCUGCUUUUAUUCAUAAUUGAAGGAAAUACUGAUUUUCAGUUGAGAUUAGUAAAAAUAAAGAUGUAAUUUUUUUUCCCAGUCAAUUUCACACACACCCUGAAUUCUAGUCAUGGACUUAAUGUUAAAAAACCUUGGGUGGAAUCAAGUAGGCAUAUUUCUGUUGGUAAGCUUUGAAGGGACUGUGACAUUUUGACAUAGAAAUAUAAUUGAUAUUCAUAAUAAGUGAUUUAUUAAGAAAAAGUUUACCACUAGUAUGCUCUUGUUAAGAACGCAUGGAAGUGUAUAAUACGGUAGGAAAUAAAUUUAUCCCAUUUGUUGGUUUCUUUUUUGGGGGGUGGGGAUGCCUAUAAAGGUACCCUAUGGAAAAUUUAUCUAUCCAGAAUGAUUCAUUUCCCUAGCAUUCUGGAUAACUUAGGUUUUAUUGUAUCACUCUUGUUUAUUACAUGCUUUAUAAAUAAGACGUGGAAGAAUUGUAAAAUGAAAAUAAUAACCAAAGAUGAAGGAAAUUAAAAUACUGUAUUUUUAAAAUUCUUAAUAACAAGUGUUAAUUAUUAUUUGAUGUACUGUGUAGUAGGCCUUUUAAUUGUUUAUCUCAUCAAACCCCGAUUACACAGAUGAAGCAUUCAAGGUCGUACAAUUACUAAGUAGUAGAGCCAGGAUUUAAACCUACGCAGUCUGACCUCAAAGCUCUCACUCUUUUAAAAACUGAGAUAUAGUUGAAAAGCUCUCACUCUUAACUAGUAAGGUGUUUAUUUUUUUUCACCCUUCGACUGUUAGCCAAUUUUAAUUUGCCCACUAGUGUAACAAAUACAUAGUCACUGGCUCAAAAUAUUUUCACCCAGUGUCUAAAAGAAAUUUUUAAAAAAAUUUUUAUCGAGUAUAGUUGA